rnacentral:rRNA from 1 species
GGAAUCUUCCACAAUGGACGAAAGUCUGAUGGAGCAACGCCGCGUGUGUGAUGAAGGGUUUCGGCUCGUAAAACACUGUUGUAAGAGAAGAAUGACAUUGAGAGUAACUGUUCAGGUAUUGACGGUAUUUAACCAGAAAGCCACGGCUAACUACGUGCCAG